AGACGUCUACAUUAGAUACGCCCGUAGUCCUAGCCGUAAACGAUACUCGCUAGGUGUCGGCCACGGUGCGACCGUUGUCGGUGCCGUAGGGAAGCCGUGAAGCGAGCCACCUGGGAAGUACGGCCGCAAGGCUGAAACUUAAAGGAAUUGGCGGGGGAGCACCACAACGGGUGGAGCUUGCGGUUUAAUUGGAUUCAACGCCGGAAAUCUUACCGGGACCGACAGCAACAUGAAGGCCAGGCUGAAGACUUUGCCGGAUUAGCUG
rnacentral:rRNA from 1 species